ensembl:rRNA
CCCAAAGGUUCCCUCAGAAUGGUUGGAAAUCAUUCGCAGAGUGUAAAGGCAGAAGGGAGCUUGACUGCGAGACCUACAAGUCGAGCAGGGACGAAAGUCGGGCUUAGU